rnacentral:pre_miRNA from 1 species
AAUAAACCAAUUUUUUACUUUUUACAUUCAAUUUUUGACUUUUCGUCAUUUUUAAAAAAAUUUUGCGAUUGAUAUUUUUGUUUUUAUUAGAUGAUAAUCAUGAAUAGUACUUUACGUGCACUAAUUUUUUUCUAAUUUCUUGAAAAUUUUUCAAAUAAGACGGAUGGUCAAACGUUAGACACGGAAACCAAAGAAUUCAUUUUUU